AUAACAAUUCUAAUUACAAAAACGCAACACGACAAAGUCGCGCGGUGUUCCUAGUUAAACUUAUAAACAUGGUCUAUUUAUUUCUAAAAUCAAAAGCUUCUAAUUAAUUAUUAUUUUCGUUUAUAUAUAGUAACUUAAAAAAUUAUUUAGUGUUUAAAAAAUCGAGGAACAAUUAACAACAAAUGUGAUUGAACUUUAAAAACUGGAUGAUGAAAAUAUGAUGUGAAUGUCAUCUACACAGUUCAAUUCAUUUUACGCACCAUUAGUUGAGAAAAUCAACAGGAUACAUUUACUGCUAAGAAAAAAGGCAACAUUUUAAGGAGCGUCGGCAUCAAAAAAAUUAUCGACAAAAGGCACAGGAGCGAUGAUGUGACAACCGGACAUAAUACUGUGAAAAAUGUUAAGUGUUACGACAAUGCCACAUUCUAAUUGUUGUUAAUCAGAUUAAUUUUAUAUACUGCAUGGACGUUGAUGUAAUGUGAUUUAUCCAAUCUGGCAUAGUAUAUUAUCAUUUCUCAAGGGAUGUAGAGAUGUUAUAUAUGUAUUUUUUUGUGAAUGGACAUAUAUGUUGCAUCGUCCUCACUCGCAAGCGGCACUUUAGCCAUUGUUGUAUAAUAUUUGUCAUAGAUACCAUGAUAUACAUUAUUUGUUGCUAUGUGUAUGUCGAUGUAUUGUACU